AAUGCAAACCUGAAACAAACAGCCUUGAUUCUGGUCUGGUCUGUGCAUUUUGCUAUUUGCUUCAGCAGGUUUUGGAAAUCUGGAUGAAAGCUCCCUGGUCUGAGCAAGUGCUAGUGAGCUUAGCGCAGAGGACAGAGAACUACUGACAGCUUAUCAUCACAGUUUUGAUGAAAAGGUGGAUCUGGACCUCAUUAUGCACUCACUUCAUAACAUCUGUCAUAGUUGUGAGACCGGAGCGAUUUUAAUAUUUCUUCCUGGAUAUGAUGAGAUAGCUUGAGGGACCGCAUUCUUUUUGAUGACAGGAGAUUUGCUGACCAUGCGCACAGAUUCUUUCUACAAAUACAGCAGAAACCAGCAUAACAGUCAAUGAUGUGGUAUUUGUUAUUGGCUCAGGCAAG